GUAAUCUUAAACCUCAAACUUUAAUGCCACUAAGGCCACAGUCCCUAGUGGUCUUAAACCUUAGAUUAUAAUAUCAUUCUUGUUACAAUCUCAAAUGAUUAUAAACCAAAUCUCUGAUAGUUUUUCUAUCAUAAUUCUCCACUGAUACUCACCUGAACAUAAACCCUAGGAUACCUUAACCUUAAGCUCUGAUACCACUCUGUCACGCCCCGAACCCAUCACCCGGGUCCGGCACGCGACCGGCCGCAUGAGCCCUAGAGCAAUGCCCUAAAGAUCAUGCAAGGCCUAAGAUAAACAACAAUUCCAAUAAUUCCAAUAAUUCCAUAAAUGCCAAAAUCAAAGAUU
rnacentral:lncRNA from 1 species